UACAGAGGAGCCAAGCGUUGUCCGGAUUGACUGGGCGUAAAGCGCACGCAGGCGGUUGCGCGCGUGGGGGGUGAAAUCUGGCCGCUUAACGGCCAGGCGCCAUCCCAUACGGCGCGACUGGAGUGAUGCAGAGGUCGAUGGAAUUGCCGGUGUAGUGGUGAAAUGCGUAGAGAUCGGCAGGAAUACCCAGGGGGAAACCAGUCGACUGGACAUCUACUGACGCUGAGGUGCGAGAGCGUGGGGAGCGAACCGG
rnacentral:rRNA from 1 species